CUCAUCAAUCAAUAAGAUCUAUUUUAUUCUUCCUGUUUCUUCUUAGCUCAAGCCCAACAUCAAUGACCGUCAAUGGUAGUUGAGAUUCUAAUAUACAAAUUCAAUCAAAUAAGCACUUUCUUUUGUACACACAGGUAGAGGAUUUAUCUCAAAUGUUUAAACAGCAUUUCAUUGCUGAAGGCGUGGUCUUGGUGCAACAGAAUAAAGAUACGACAAAUAGCAAGGUUCUUCUUGAGGAUGUUGGGGCGUCUUCGUCUCAGGCAUAACUUUAGGGAAGGAAAUAAAGUGGCCGAUAACGUGCUAACUAUUGAAGGAUCAAAGAGAACCACCAUCACAAACCACAUAGAGUUUUUGUCAUCACCAACAAUAUGGAUACAAAGCCUUGUGGCUUGUAAUAACCUAGCUAAUCUUAGUUAUUCAAGUAUUAUUAGGUUUGUUGUUGUUGAUGCUACUACUAGUUGCAAUAGCAACCUUUCUUAUAUUAGGUUGGAUGUAAUAGAUUGUAACACCCCACAUUUACGGACUAGAAUUCGAACUGUCAUUCCUACGUGUAUAAAUUUGAACCCAAUAAUUUCUAUCUAAAAAUA